rnacentral:ribozyme from 14 species
UCCAUCCAUCCUGCAAAUCAACAUAGACAAAAUGGGGCAAAAUUGAACAAAAUUGAAAAGAAGAAAAAGAAGAAAAAAAAAAG